AAAAAAUUAAUGAUUUGUUAUAAGGCCGUGCAUGUGUAUCUUUUGAUCUUUGGUUUCCCUUGCUCAAUAAUUAGUGGAGAUAAUGACCCAAUUAACUUAUAUUCCUAAUAUCAGUUACAAAAUAAGUAUUAAUUUUAAUUGACAUUCUCAUCAAAUAUUUUGCCCCUUCCCAUUCCUCCAACACACAUCAUUAAACAAUUUGCACCUUUAUAAGCUAGACACAUUUCACUAUCAUUCCAUGCAUAUUGCCUUGCUCCAUUUGGCUAUUAUAGUGAUAUCCUCUUCCAUUUUCCACCAUGUCACUUGCUGAAAAUAGUCUCAAAAAGUAAAACAUUUUUUCCCUUUU
rnacentral:lncRNA from 1 species